rnacentral:rRNA from 1 species
AGUGAACGCUGGCGGUAGGCCUAACACAUGCAAGUCGAACGGCAGCACAGUAAGAGCUUGCUCUUACGGGUGGCGAGUGGCGGACGGGUGAGGAAUACAUCGGAAUCUACUUUUUCGUGGGGGAUAACGUAGGGAAACUUACGCUAAUACCGCAUACGUCCUCCGGGUGAAAGCAGGGGUUCUUCGGACCUUUCGCGAUUGAAUGAGCCGAUGUCGGAUUAGCUAGUUGGCGGGGUAAAGGCCCAACAAGGCGACAAUCCGUAGCUGGUCUGAGAGGAUGAUCAGCCACACUGGAACUGAGACACGGUCCAGACUCCUACGGGAGGCAGCAGUGGGGAAUAUUGGACAAUGGGCGCAAGCCUGAUCCAGCAAUACCGCGUGGGUGAAGAAGGCCUUCGGGUUGUAAAGCCCUGUUGUUGGGAAAGAAAAGCAGCAGGUUAAUACCCCGCUGUUCUGACGGUACCCAAAGAAUAAGCACCGGCUAACUUCGUG